CAAGAAAUCAAUGUUGUUCUUACUUCAUCUGAUCAAUGGUGAGUUCUUGUUUCAUUGAUUAAAUAUGUUUUUGGAUCUCCAUAGUCUCAGCAAGAACUCUCUAUUGCUCCUCCUGGUUCAACCGUCUCUUAUUGAGGUUGAGCUUGUAUCUUUCAUUGAGGGUAUCGAAUCGUGAGACAUGGACAAUGGUGAGAAGAUUGUAGCUGCUGUCAAAAAGAA